GAACUUCCUUUGUUGGGCACGUCGUGCUGAUGUAUAACUCUUAUAGUCAUAACUUAGAUUUCUCUGUAUAUAUAUGUUCCCUCAAAGUUGUUCAACCUUUUUAUUGGUUAAUGUUGCAGACUUAAGAUGCCCUUUUUCUCUCUAGACUUAAUGUUGCAGACUUAAGAUGCCCUUUUUCCAGUAGAUGCCCCUCUUGCGGUCUUGUGAGUGUUAGAAUUCAUAUUAAAUAGU
rnacentral:lncRNA from 1 species